rnacentral:rRNA from 1 species
UGAGCCCGCGCCACGAUUAGGUAGUUGGUUGAGGUAAUGGCUCACCAAGACUGACGAUCUGUAGCUGGUCUGAGAGGAUGAUUCAGUCCACACUGGGACUGAGACACGGCCCAGGACUCCUACGGGAGGCAGCACGUGGGGAAUAUUGGACAAUGGGCGAAAGCCUGAUCCAGCAAUACCGAGUGAGUGAUGAAGGCCUUAGGGUUGUAAAGCUCUUUUUAGCAGGGAAGAUAAUGACGUUACCUGCAGAAAAAGCCCCGGCUAACUCCGUGCC